AACGAACGCUGGCGGCAUGCCUAACACAUGCAAGUCGAACGAAGCCUUCGGGCUUAGUGGCGCACGGGUGCGUAACGCGUGGGAAUCUGCCCUUAGGUACGGAAUAACUCAUGGAAACGUGUGCUAAUACCGUAUGAUGUCUUCGGACCAAAGAUUUAUCGCCUAGGGAUGAGCCCGCGUUGGAUUAGCUAGUUGGUGAGGUAAAGGCUCACCAAGGCGACGAUCCAUAGCUGGUCUGAGAGGAUGAUCAGCCACACUGGGACUGAGACACGGCCCAGACUCCUACGGGAGGCAGCAGUGGGGAAUAUUGGACAAUGGGCGAAAGCCUGAUCCAGCAAUGCCGCGUGAGUGAAGAAGGCCUCGGUUGUAAGUACGUCUUUACCGGUUAACGGUACGUAAGUAGACUAGUACCGGGUACGGAACGUAAGGACCCGGACCGUAACCGUACCCGUUCGUCCACGACCGACGCCGCCGGUAAGGAAGUACGAACGUAGGUACCGUACGGUAAGAACGUAGGCCCGAAACGGACCGAACAACCAACGGGGAACGUAA
rnacentral:rRNA from 1 species